AGAGUUUGAUCCUGGCUCAGAAUGAACGCUGGCGGCGUGCCUAACACAUGCAAGUCGAACGAGAAAACCCCGUAAGGGGUGAGUAAAGUGGCGGACUGGUGCGUAACGCGUGGGAAUCUACCCUUUAGUGAAGAAUAACCUCGAGAAAUCGAGAUUAAUACUGCAUAAGUCCCUUUGGGGAGAAAGAUGGCCUCUUUGCCAUCGCUGAAGGAUGAGCCUGCGUACUAUUAGCUAGUUGGUAGGGUAAUGGCCUACCAAAGCGAUGAUGGUUAACCGGCCUGAGAGGGUGGUCGGUCACAUUGGGACUGAGAUAUGGCCCAGACUCCUACGGGAGGCAGCAGUGGGGGAUAUUGCACAAUGGGCGCAAGCUUGAUGCAGCGACGCCGCGUGGAGGAUGACGGUCUUCGGAUUGUAAACUCCUGUUAAGCGGGAAGAAAUCUUUACGAGUAAUAUGCGUAGAGGAUGACGGUACCGCUAGAGAGAGCUCCGGCUAACUUCGUGCCAGCAGCCGCGGUAAGACGAAGGGAGCAAGCGUUAUUCGGAAUUACUGGGCGUAAAGAGCGUGUAGGCGGUUAAUUAAGUCAAUUGUUAAAUCCCCUGGCUUAACUAGGGAUCAGCAAUCGAUACUGGUUGACUUGAGGGCAAGAGAGAGAAGUGGAAUUCUCGGAGUAGCGGUAAAAUGCAUAGAUCUCGAGAGGAACACCGGUUGCGAAGGCGGCUUCUUGGCUUGCAUCUGACGCUAAAGCGCGAAAGCGUGGGGAGCAAACAGGAUUAGAUACCCUGGUAGUCCACGCCGUAAA
rnacentral:rRNA from 1 species